AAUGACAGCCCAUAUCAAGGUGGUGUAUUCUUUUUGACAAUUCAUUUUCCUACAGACUACCCCUUCAAACCACCUAAGUUCUUUUAUCCAUUUGUUCACUGCUAUGUGAUCCAAACCCAGAUGACCCCCUAGUGCCAGAGAUUGCACGGAUCUAUAAAACAGACAGAGACAAGUACAACAGAAUAUCUCGGGAAUGGACUCAGAAGUAUGCCAUGUGAUGCUACCUUAAAGUCAGAAUAACCUGCAUUAUAGCUGGAAUAAACUUUAAAUUACUGUUCCUUUUUUGAUUUUCUUAUCCGGCUGCUCCCCUAUCAGACCUCAUCUUUUUUAAUUUUAUUUUUUGUUUCCCUCCCUCCAUUCAUUCACAUGCUCAUCUGAGAAGACCUAAGUUCUUCCAGCUUUGGACAAUAACUGCUUUUAGAAACUGUAAAGUAGUUACAAGAGAACAGUUGCCCAAGAUUCAGAAAUUUUUUUAAAACUGGAGCAUGUGUAUUAUGUGGCCAAUGUCUUCACUCUAACUUGGUUAUGAGACUAAACCAAUCCUCACUGCUCUAACAUGCUGAAGAAGCCAUCUGAGGGGGAGGGG
rnacentral:lncRNA from 1 species